rnacentral:rRNA from 1 species
GAUGAACGCUGGCGGCGUGCCUAAUACAUGCAAGUCGAGCGAACGGACGAGAAGCUUGCUUUUCUGAUGUUAGCGGCGGACGGGUGAGUAACACGUGGAUAACCUACCUAUAAGACUGGGAUAACUUCGGGAAACCGGAGCUAAUACCGGAUAAUAUUUUGAACCGCAUGGUUCAAAAGUGAAAGACGGUCUUGCUGUCACUUAUAGAUGGAUCCGCGCUGCAUUAGCUAGUUGGUAAGGUAACGGCUUACCAAGGCAACGAUGCAUAGCCGACCUGAGAGGGUGAUCGGCCACACUGGAACUGAGACACGGUCCAGACUCCUACGGGAGGCAGCAGUAGGGAAUCUACCGCAAUGGGCGAAAGCCUGACGGAGCAACGCCGCGUGAGUGAUGAAGGUCUUCGGAUCGUAAAACUCUGUUAUUAGGGAAGAACAUAUGUGUAAGUAACUGUGCACAUCUUGACGGUACCUAAUCAGAAAGCCACGGCUAACUACGUG